AGGCUGAGAGAGAGGAUGAGUUUAGACGCCUGGUUCUGGAUCAGCUCAAAGAAAUGAAGGAGAGUAUCAACAACCUGCAUAGGAAGAAGGCUGACAGCGAACAUAAGGCGGAUGGAAAAACGGAGCCGUAAUGUAAACACGAUACAUUACGCGUGAAGUCGAAUUCGACCAGUUUGUGAGAAAAAGAGUUCUAACACUAAUGGUCUGCAGGAACAAUGUGUAUUUCUGCUCUAUGGAGUAUGUAUACUAUAAUCACCGGGCAAUUUUGAUUGUUUUUUUUAUAUAUAUGUUGCACAUAACUAAGCCCGAACUAUGUAUUACAUCUUCAACUACGAACACUGGAGCAUUUCGUGAUUAAGUGUGUAUUCCGUUACUUAGGUCGGCGUAUUUGCAGUGUAUAAACAUGCUUGCUUUUUUACUCUCGUUGUAUUGAUGAGUUUUUGUUUUCAAUGUAUUAAAUGUUUGUAUAUGUCGUUAAUAUUCGGUAUGAAUGUAAGUGAAUUUAGAGAAUGGUGAAAACGAACAACAAUAGCUUCGGUAUAAUUGUUUGCUAAGGAAUAGUUUGAAUAGUUUGAUGAUGAGACAAAUCACGUUAAUACAGGCACAUUUGUCAGUCUAUACGUAUAUUGCAUAUGAUAUCGACAGUGCAAAUUCAGUAUUGUCUGGAUCUAAUGUUAUGGUGUAUAUUCUACUUUUCCGUACUAGUACGUGGCCAAAUGUAUGUUUGCGAACAAAUAUAUACCUGUA